rnacentral:rRNA from 1 species
UUCGUAGGCGGUGCGGCAAGUCGGGAGUGAAAUCUCUGGGCUUAACUCAGAGGCUGCUUCCGAAACUGCCGUGCUCGAGUGUGGGAGAGGCGCGUGGAAUUGCAGGUGUAGCGGUGAAAUGCGUAGAUAUCUGCAGGAACACCCGUGGCGAAAGCGGCGCGCUGGACCACAACUGACGCUGAGGAACGAAAGCUAGGGGGAGCAAACAGGAUUAGAUACCCUGGUAGUCCUAGCCCUAAACGAUCAGGACUUGGGGUGGCUUCCGUUCGGAAGUCGUCCCGGAGCUAACGCGUUAAGUCCUGCACCUGGGGAAUACGGUCGCAAGACUGAA